rnacentral:rRNA from 1 species
UACGGAGACUGCGAGCGUUACUCGGAUUCACUGGGCGUAAAGGGUGCGCAGGCGGCUAAUUGUGUCAGGUGUGAAAUCCCGGGGCUUAACUCCGGAACUGCGCCUGAAACUGAUUGGCUAGAGGCUCGGAGAGGUAAGCGGAAUUCCAGGUGUAGCAGUGAAAUGCGUAGAUAUCUGGAGGAACACCAAAGGCGAAGGCAGCUUACUGGAAGAGAUCUGACGCUCAGGCACGAAAGCGUGGGUAGCGAAA